ensembl:lncRNA
GCCCGCGGACUCCCCUCCCGGGGGUGAACAAUCGGCCGGCCCCUGGCCAGGCCGUCCUGGGGUUGGCACCACCACCGACCCCCUGACCAAGGGCCUGGCGUGACCCCGGGGAGGAGAAGGGGGUCUCGGUCUCUUCCCACCGUCUGCCCCGAGAAACAUUUAACUGGCCUUUAAUCACAUUAGCAGCCGGCCCCAAUUAAGGCCGCGGGCGGGGGAGGCAGGGGAAACCGCCGGCCGUGUCACUUGAGGAUAAAGGUCCUUUAUGCCCCAGGCCUGGCCUGGGGCGACGCGGCGGGCCGCCGUCCCCAGCCUUUGAUUGCAGGCGCCUGGGCCUCGCCGCCGCCGCCAUCUCUUUGCCCCUUCAAACUAUCCCCGCCCCCGAUCCCCCUCCCCUGCCCCCACUGUGCCAUCGCCCUCGGGUGACCCGGUGGCCGGGCAGGACAGCGACCCAGGCCCGGACUCGAGCCCGCGCCCCCACGCCGGCCUGGACGGGCCCUCCUCCGGCCUGGGCCUGCGCCUGCGCGCUGGGAGCGCUCGAAGGGGCGGCUGCGGGGCUCACCGAGAGCCCUCGGGACGCGCCGCCUGCCCGCCGACGCCCAGCUCCCGGUCGGGACCCUGGUUUGGCGUGCUGCAGUUCACGGGGUUGCAGGGAGUCCGACACGACUAAGUGACUGAGCAACCAUAUAUAUUUAAGCACAUGAUGCUUGGAGGCACCGACCAUAGAAAGCUUUAAAACCUGGCCGAUAAACACCUCCGAAGGAGCAGAGGCCGUGCCUGCCCCACGGCAGUGUUUUCAUCUAAACUUCUUCUUCAUAUUUCUCACGUCAGCACCGUUUCGACUGAAGAUCUCAAGACCAUGAUGGACAGAGAAAAGCACCUUCCUUACGUGAAAAGUAUCAACUCGUUUCUGCUCUUCAGCAUUGUGGAGAAGCCGAGGAAACUGCAGCUCCAUGAGGCUAAAUGUCUCAUCCACCACUGAGCGGGGAUUCACACCAGACGCCAGACUUCAAGAGCGGAGCCAGCUAUAGCCAUGGAAGUCAGAAACACUCACCCAUGAUGAUCAGAGGAUGUCUUCAGACUGGAUUUGUCCUGUGAACACGUAAAGGAGAACUAAUGUUAUAAAUACAGACCCUACAGACAUAAGAACUUGCUCAGCACAGGGUGUAGGGU